CUACGGGUUGCAGCAGUCGAGAAUCUUCCGCAAUGGACGAAAGUCUGACGGAGCGACGCCGCGUGCGGGAUGAAGGCCUUCGGGUUGUAAACCGCUGUCAGUGGGGAGGAAAUGCAUCAGGGUUCUCCCUGGUGUUUGACCGAUCCGCAGAGGAAGCGCAGGCUAAGUUCGUGCCAGCAGCCGCGGUAACACGAACUGCGCGAACGUUAUUCGGAAUCACUGGGCUUAAAGAGUUCGUAGGCGGCCUUUCAAGUCGGGUGUGAAAUCCCUCGGCUCAACCGAGGAAUUGCGCCUGAUACGGUUGGGCUUGAGGGGGAUAGGGGUGAGCGGAACUGAUGGUGGAGCGGUGAAAUGCGUUGAUAUCAUCAGGAACACCGGUGGCGAAGGCGGCUCACUGGAUCUCUUCUGACGCUGAGGAACGAAAGCUAGGGGAGCGAACGGGAUUAGAUACCCCAGUAGUC
rnacentral:rRNA from 1 species